ensembl:lncRNA
GGCAAAGUUAGCGCUUCUAACUGACCGCUAGAGGACUCAGGGGGAUCGUUAAUGCACGCUGCCCUCUGGGGGUCGCGGAAGGAGACAGCUCCAGGGCUGUGAUGAAAUUUACUUGCCGACACCAGCCAGCAUCCGGCACUGAGGCUGAAAUACUGGAACAUAGAGAGAUGGACCUCAGUUAUUUGAAGCUAGCAUUCAUCUCAGCUCUUUGAAAGCAGGAAAAGGCUGAUCUGGAGGAUGCUGGCCGCUAGGAGAGAACAGAACAGGAGCUGUAGCAACACAGAAAGGGAGAGAGAAAUCAUGUCUAUAGGAGGGCAGGUUUAGCCCACCCACCUCACCCAGCCCAUUGGAGCUGCUUGGAUUUUCAGAGGAAAAUGAAGAAACCUUCUGUUCUUGCUCUAAGAUGGUGAGUAGAAGGAUGUGUGCGCCUCUUCUGCAAGACCUUUAAAAUUGCAACUAGCUGCUGAACAACCAUCAACAGGAGAAUGCUGGAUCCAACCAAAAAAAGGGCAAGGAGAAGCCCCAACAAGACAGUAGGGAGGGCAAAAUUGCAUUUAUAAUCAAGCCCCAUACCCACCAGAAACACUCAGAGGGCUCAAACAAAACCUUGUGCACACCAGGUCCCAAGGACCCCACAAGAGACUGAGCCAGACCUGCCUUUGAGUGUUUGCGUUUCUCCUAUGGAGUCAUGGGUCAACAGUGGCCUGCUGCACAGAUAGGGGAUCUGGCUACAGCAGACGUGGGAGGCACAGCAUGUGACAUAACUUCUCUGGGAGGAGGUUGCCAUUAGCCCCACCAUAGAGCCACCAAGUUCUAUGACCCCAAAAUUGGAGAACAAUUAUACCAAAGAAAUUCUCACACUGUUGCAAAAGUUCUAGGGCCCACAACAGAUUUCCCAACAUAGGGAUCCAACAAAGGGACUGAGAACUCCCAGGGAAUUUGAUUUUAAAGUCCAGUGGGAUUUGAUCACAGAACUUCCACAGGACUGGGGAAACAGACUCUUGGAGGAAACAAACAAAAUCUUGUGUGUACCAGGACCCAGGAGAAAGAAGCUGGGACCCCAAAAGAGACUGAUUGAGACUUGCCUGUGAGUGUCCAAGAGUCUCCAGCAAAAGCAUAAGUCAACAGUGGCCUGCUGUGGGGUCAGGGGCACUGAAUACAACAGUCCUGGGAGCUAUGAUGUGCUGGCAUAAGUCCAUUUUAAGAAGGUCUCCAUUACAGCCAUUACUCAUACCAUAGUUCUGCCUAAGGCCAAACCGCAGGGAGGGAACACAGCUCCACCCAUCAACAGUAAAUUGGAUUAAAGAUUUGGAGCAUGACGCUGCCCAUCACAGCAAGACCCAGAUUCCCCCACAGUCAGUCCCUCCCAUCAGGAAGCUUCCACGAGCCUCUUAUCCUUAUCCAUCAGAGGGCAAACAAAAUGAAAACCACAAUCACAGGAAACUAACCAAAGGACACACGGAUCACAGCCUUGUCUAACUCAAUGAAACUAUGAGCCAUGCUGUGUAGGGCCACCCAAGACGGAUGGGUCAUGGUGGAGGGUUCUGACAGAACGCAGUCCACUGGAGAAGGGAAUGGUAAACCACGUCACCAUUCUUGCCUUGAGAACCCCAUGAAAAGUAUGAAAAGCCAAAAAGACAGCACACCAAAAGAUGAACUCCCAAGGCCAAUAUGCUACUGGAGAAGAAUGGAAAAAUAACUCCAGAAGGAAUGAAGAGAUGGAGCCUAAGCGAAAACAAAACCCAGUUCCGGAUGUGACUGGUGAUGGAAGUAAAGUCCGAUGCUAUAAAGAGCAAUAUUGCAUGGGAACUUGGAAUGUUAGGUCCAUAAACCAAGGUCAAUUGGAAGAGGUCAAAUAGGACAUGGCAAGAGCGGACACCAACAUUUUAGGAAUCAGUGAACUAAAAUGGACUGGAAUGGGUGAAUUUAAUUCAGAUGACCAUUAUAUCUAUUACUGUGGGCAAUAAUCCCUUAGAGAAAUGGGGUUGCCCUCAUAGUCAACAAAAAGUCUGAAAUCCUUGGAUGCAAUCUCAAAAAUGACAGAAUGAUCUCUAUUUGUUUACAAGGCAAACCAUUCAAUAUCACAGUAAUCCAAGUCUAUACCCCAGUUACUAAUGCUGAAGAAGCCAGAGUUGAAUGGUUCUAUGAAGAGCUACAAGACCUUCUAGACUAACACCAAAAAAAGAUAGCCUUUACAUCAUAGGGGACUGGAAUGAAAGUAGGAAGUCAAGAAAUACCUGAAGUAACAGGCAAAUUUGGUCUUGGAGUAAAAAAUGAAGCAGAGAAAAGGUUAACAGAGUUUUGCCAAGGGAACAAACUGGUCAUAGCAAGCAUCCUCUCCAACAACACAAGAGAUGACUCUACACAUGGACACCACCAGAUGGUCAAUACCUAAAUCAGAUUGAUUAUAUUCUUUGCAGCCAAAGAUGAAGAAGCUCUAUACAGUCAGCAAAAACAAGACUGGGAGCUGACUGUGGCUCAGAUUAUGAACUCCUUAUUGCAAAAUUCAGACUUAAAUUGAAGAAAGUAGGGAAAACCACAAGAACUUUCAGGUAUGACCUAAAUCAAAUCCCUUACAAUUAUAUAGUAGAAGUGACAAAUAG